CCACAAAAAUACUAAAAAAAAUAAUAAUAACAAACCCACUAACAAACUUAAUCCUCAAUUAUUCUUUUGGUAACAAAAUUAACCACUCCUCCUAUCAAUUUUGGACAACACAUCACCACCCCACACCCUACCCCACUACCCACCCACGUGACCCCUCACACUAUCACCUUUCAUAUAUACAUACACACAUAGGGAACAAGAAACACACAGAUUCACACCUCAUAUACAACAACAAUAUACAAACCCACAUCAUCAUCUCCAUAUUUCUCUUCUACACAAUACACCAUUAACCUCACCAUUAACGGACAACUUCCUCACCAUUCCAAUAGCUCACACAUCUUUCUUGCAGAUCUAUGCACGAAAUCACAUGCGUAUAAGGUGAGUAAACUGAAAAAUGAAGAGAGCUUCGAGGGAGUUCCGGUCAAUUUCUUCGAGAUUUUUCGGCUAAAUUUUGCCGGGAUCAGCAAACCCGGUUGGUAAACGUCAAAAGUAACCGAAAUCUACCUCGAUUCAUCUUCUUUGCCGCCACCUGAGCUCACCGAAGCUCGGGUAUACUGUCCUUUGGCUCUGUCGUGUAUUGGAGUUUUGUGUUCGUAGUUCUGUUCGAAAUUAUAAAUUUAGGAGGUCGAAUUGAGUUUAUUCUUGCUGGUUUGGAACUUGUCUGGAUCGAUUCACGACCCUCAGGUGAACAACAGUAACCUUACCCUUUUUUGUUCAUCCGAAAUUGGUUUCAACACCAUUCAAUGUUGGGUACUGCGUUUGGAUUUGUGUUAGUCAGUUCUUCGUGCUCUAUUUUGGAUUAGUUUUUCUCUAUACCGAGUUGGAUUCAUCGCAAUCGAGGUUUUCUAUUUGAGAUUUCAAGUGCGGGUCUUCUUUAAUAUUAUUACCCACCAAAAUUGAUUAUCGGAAGGUCCAUUUUCU